rnacentral:rRNA from 1 species
CACGUAGGGUGCAAGCGUUGUCCGGAAUCACUGGGCUUAAAGGGCGCGUAGGCGGGUUCUCAAGUCUGGAGUGAAAGCCCGCGGCUCAACCGCGGAAGCGCUUCGGAUACUGGGGGCCUCGAGGGGGGGUAGGGGCGUGCGGAACUUCCGGUGGAGCGGUGAAAUGCGUAGAUAUCGGAAGGAACACCGGUGGCGAAAGCGGCGCGCUGGACCCCUUCUGACGCUGAGGCGCGAAAGCCAGGGGAGCAAACGGG